rnacentral:rRNA from 1 species
UACGUAGGGCGCGAGCGUUGUCCGGAAUUAUUGGGCGUAAAGAGCUCGUAGGCGGCCUGUUGCGUCUGCUGUGAAAUCCCGGGGCUCAACCCCGGGCGUGCAGUGGAUACGGGCGGGCUAGAGGCAGGCAGGGGGAGAACGGAAUUCCCGGUGUAGCGGUGAAAUGCGCAGAUAUCGGGAGGAACACCGGUGGCGAAGGCGACUUCCUGGACCAAUACUGACGCUCAGGUGCGAAAGCGUGGGGAGCAAACAGGG